AUAGUAGUGUCAGAGUUUGAUCCUGGCUCAGGAUGAACGCUGACAGAAUGCUUAACACAUGCAAGUCGACUCGAGUCUUCGGACUUGGGUGGCGCACGGGUGAGUAACGCGUAAAGAACUUGCCUCUUAGACCGGGACAACAUUUGGAAACGGAUGCUAAUACCGGAUAUUAUGGUUUUUCGGCAUCGAAGAAUUAUCAAAGUGUUAGCGGUAUAGGAUGGACCCACGUCUGAUUAGCUAGUUGGUGAGAUAACUGCCCACCAAGGCGACGAUCAGUAGCCGACCUGAGAGGGUGAUCGGCCACAUUGGAACUGAGACACGGUCCAA
rnacentral:rRNA from 1 species